CUAAUUAUAAAACAAACAAGAACAAAUCUUUUAUUUUUGCAGGCCAAUCGCUCUUUUGACUUUGGAAUACAGUCUCUUUAUCAAUAUACUGUUUCUUUUACACAUUCAAUUCAUAACAUCUCUUUUCAAUCCCAUAAUCAAGAAUAAUUAGGAUUUCCUAAAAAAAAAAAGUAAAAGGGUCCAUUCAUAGGAAAACCUAACCUUUCCCCACAUUAGGCACUAAUCUAUUUUUAACGUCUAAUUAGAUCGGGGAAUCCUUCCAAUUAACCAAUUAAGAAGUUAAGCUCGUUGCUUUUUUUUUAUUUUACCAGAAUUAGAGCCAGGCUCUAUCCAUUUAUUCACUAGACCCAGAAAAUCAGAAUUUUUUUUAUUCAAAAAAAAAAAAGAAAUUGAUUUUAUUACGACAUGCUAUUUUUUCCAUUCAUUACCUUUGAGGAUCAGUCGUGGUCUUCUAGACUCUACCAAGAGUCUGGACGAAUUUGUUGCUUCAUCCAAAUGUGUAAAAGAUCAUAGCCUUACUUAAAAGCCGACUACUCUACCAUUGAGUUAGCAACCCGGAUAAAAUAGGAUCUCUUAGAUACGAUCAAAAUCUAAAAAUCGAUGAAAUUAUACCACAUUGAAUUAGCAAGACAUCAAAAGAAAGAUUUUCUAAUCCAUUAAAAACACUCAAAUACAAAAUGAACAGAUCCGGUUAAAUUUCACUAAGGCUAAGGGUAAAAAAAAAAAGCAGCCCCAAUCACAAUGGCAAAAUUGUGAUUUUUUUGGCAAUUUAAAGAAGUAAAAUAAUCUUGUAUGUGUAUGAGAGUACAUGCAAGAGGGGCAACCCUAUCAUUUGAAUGAAGUGUAGACAGAAAUACCUAAUAUGGAGUGACAAUAAAGAGACCCAUCUAUCUACAAAUUCUAUUUGUUCAAUAGACCUUUGUCAAUGCAAAUACAAUGUAAUUAGAUAUAAAAAGGAAAUAAAAUAGGGACUUUUGUUGGAUUGGCACGACAUAAAUGCAGCAAAAAAAAAAUAGGACUAAGAAAGAGGCAAAUUGUGUCUAAAUAAUUAAGGGGUACUAAGGACCCUCUCCUACUUUUUUAUUCAUUUAGUUCUUCAAUUAACUCAAAGUUCUUUCUUUAUCUUUAAAGAAUUCUGCCUUCCUUAAAAUAUCAUAAACUGUUCUUGUAGGUUGAGCACCCUUUUCAAGGAAAUAGAGAAUAGCUGGAACAUUUAAACAAGUUUGAUUCUUUAUCGGAUCAUAAAAACCUACUUUUCGAAGAUCUCUUCCUUCUCUUCGAGAUCGAACAUCAAUUGCAACGAUUCGAUAGAUAGCUUAUUGGGAUAGAUGUAGAUAAACAACCCCCCCCUAGAAACGUAUAGGAGGUUUUCUCCUCAUACGGCUCGAGAAAAUGAUUCGAAUUUCUGUCUAUAAUGCAAUCUGUCUAUAAUGCAAAUAGAUAGAAAUUCGAUUAUGACUUGCAUUAAUUUCCUUAAAGAAAAGAAAAAACAAAUUUCAUUUAUACUCAUGACUUCAAGUUGGCUAAUUUUUACUGACAAACUUCAAAAGAAAAACUCUUCGAAAUUUUUUGAGUCGUCUCUAAACUCUUUUCUUUAUCUCAUCUCGAACAAAUUGACUUUUAUUCCUUAUUCAGAUCUAAUUCUAUUGUUGAGCGGUUGAAAAUCGUGUUUACUUGUUCCGGAAUCCUUUAUCUUUGAUUUGUGAAAUCCUUGGGUUUAGACAUUACUUCGGGAACUCCUAUUCUUUUUUCUUUCAAAAGAGUAGCAACAUACCCUUUCUUUUUUCUUAUUUCCUUCGAUAAAGCAUUUCACUCUUCUAUAGAAAUCAAAUAUGAACAAUUGAUUCAGAUAGACUUUUCAUCAAAAAAGUUUUUCCAAUCUUCCAAAAUUAGACUUUUUCUUAUUUUAACCUUUUGAUUUCUAUAUUAAGGAUAGACUGACAAAGUUGGCCUAAUUUAUUAGUUUUCACUAACCCUAGAUUCUUUCCCUUGAUCAAAAAGAAAUUCUGUCCUCUCGAGCUCCAUCGUGUACUAUUUACUUUACUUACAAACAACCCAGCGAAAAUUCGGUUCGGGACGAAUAGAACAGACUAUGUCGAGCCAAGAGCAUUUUCAUUACUAUGGAAAAUGAUGGAUAGGCAAAUCCACAAUCGAUCAUGUCCUUCAAGUCGCACGUUGCUUUCUACCACAUCGUUUUAAACGAAGUUUUACCAUAACAUUCCUCUAAUUUCAUUGCAAAAUGGUAUCGAGAAUUGAUCCAAUAUGGAUGGAAUCAUGAAUAGUCAUUGCUUUUGUAUACUAAUUCAAACCUGCUAUCUAUGGAGAAAAUUGGAUAAAAGAAAUAAGUAUUUAUCGGGGAACACUCUGCAAAGAUACAAUUUAUUUAAACCCAUAUUCUAUCAUAUGAAUGAAACAUAGUUCGAAAAAGAGGAAUAAAAUAGUUUACUUAAGACUUAUUUAUUAUUAUUGAAUUUCCAUUUUCAACAGAGAACUCAAGAUGAUUAAUCCUGAAAUGAGAAGGAUCCACUCUUUCCCAACAAAUAAACUAUCAACCUCAAAAAAAGUGGAAUUAAUUUAAUGAAUUAAUCUAUUUUUCUGUAACAAAAACAAUUAACUAUAUAAACAAAUAAGCUAUGCCAAUGAAAAGAUUGGUCGUUUUUUGAGCUAGUCUAAAAUUCUCCUACUCUUCGACUCGAAUAACAAAAGAAAGACUCUAAAAUAAAAAAUAAGAAAAGUACGAUUUUUUCGAAUCCAUUCUAUCCAACGAACAGUUCUUACCUUAACCUUACCGAAAUGGAUCAUUCUGGAUAUUUAAAGAAUCACAGAUCGAGAUCGUUUUCGCUUAACCAAAGAAAAGAAGGACGCUUCUUUUUUACUAAUAAUACAAGAAAACAAAUAAUACAACAAAAAUCUAUCUCUAUCAUAAAGGGAUAGGUCUCAUUUUCUAUACAGUGUUUUACCUCAUUAAUUUUUUUUUUUUUUACUUACUUUAGUUCUUUAGUUUUGGGAAAAUAAAUAGGGGGUACUUCUUUUCUUUCAUAUUGGGGGUCAAAUGGAUCCUGUAAGAAUUCCCACUUCAUAGAUACGGGGUAUAAAGUUUAUCCAAAAAGUUCCAAUUUCAAAACACAUAUUCAAAACACAUAUGAGUAAUGAGUAGUAGGGGCAUAUCCUGAAUGUGCCUGAUAGACAAAAAUUUUUCAUGAAAAUAAAGAUAUUAAAUUUGACUGGACUUGACACUUUAUUUUUUGUUUUCUGAGAAAGAAAAAAAUGCUUAGAAAUGCAUCUAAUCUACGAGUUCAUAAGAGAUAAUUAUUCUCUUUAAUAAACUUUUGUGUCGUGCAGGGCACAAUACGAUUCUAUCUUUCGCUUCAUCAGAAAAAAUCUGGGACGAAAGGAUUCGAACCUCCGAGUAACGGGACCAAAACCCGCUGCCUUACCACUUGGCCACGCCCCAUGUCAUUUCGUUUUAUGAAACACUAAUAAACACUAUUAUUUUUAUAUAUUAUUCGUCAAUCCCACUUCAAUUACCUAAAAAAUGAGGGAUAUUUUCUUGCUAGGAUUCUAGACAUGCAGAUAAUAUAGAAUCCAAAAAAUGCAUUGAUCAUUACAUGGAAUUCUAUUAAGAUAUUAUAUGAAAGUCGAAUUUCUUCCAUUCUCAUUUGAGAAUGCGAAUACAAGGAGGUAUUUUGUGUUUGGGAAAGUCCGAAGAAAAAAGGAUUUGGAAUCUACCUUUUCUUUUGCUUUUUCCCUUAUAAAAAUAACUCAAUCAAAAUCCAAUUAUCUACUCUACAAGAAUGAAAUGCUUGUUAUGCCUAAUAUACUUAGUUUAACCUGUAUCUGUUUUAAUUCUGUUCUUUGUCCGACUAGCUUUUUCUUCGCCAAAUUACCCGAAGCUUAUGCCAUUUUCAACCCAAUCGUGGAUGUUAUGCCUGUCAUACCUGUACUCUUUUUUCUAUUAGCGUUUGUUUGGCAAGCUGCUGUAAGUUUUCGAUGAAAUCUUUACUAUUCUGCCUGCCAAAUUGAAUGAUGUAUUCAUUCCAAAAAAAAAAAUGGAUAAGAGCCGAGAAGUCUUAUAUUAUGAACCUUCGAUUCUAAAAUGAAAAUUCUUCUACAUUGAAUGUAUAGCUGCAGCAAUAAAUUUUGAUCAGCCUUUCUACCCCCUGCGCCUACGUUGAACAGGUACCUUUAGGUACCCACACAAUACCUAAACUAAUUUUUGAUAUUGAUAAGAGUGCUUAUUAUAAAGCAAUUCUUGCAAUUUUUUUAAGAAUUGAUUUUUGCAUUUUUAGGUGUCAAAAUAAAGAAAACCCAUCCUAGUGGAUCCGUGUGGUAAGGAAAAAUGGGUAAUCUAUUCCUUAACAAAAAAAAUUUUGGAGAUUAUGUAAUGCUUACUCUCAAACUUUUUGUUUAUACAGUAGUGAUAUUCUUUGUUUCCCUCUUUAUCUUUGGAUUCUUAUCUAAUGACCCAGGACGUAAUCCUGGGCGUGAGGAGUAAAAAUCAAAAAUUUUUUGGAAUUUUUUCUUAUAAAUUUAAAUUGGAUUUAUUUCGUACAUUUAUUUAUGUGAAAAUCCGGGGGUCAGAAUUCCUUACAAUUCGAAAGUCCCAAAUGAUCCGAGGGGGCGGAAAGAGAGGGAUUCGAACCCUCGGUACAAAAAAAUUGUACAACGGAUUAGCAAUCCGCCGCUUUAGUCCACUCAGCCAUCUCUCCCCGUUCCAAAUCGAAAGGUUUUCAUGAUAUGGCAGAGGCAAGAAAUAACGAUUGUCAAAAAUCCUUCCUUUUUCUUUCAUUUCAAAAGUGCAUAAAAAUUAUAUUGCCAAUUCCAUUUUAAUUAUAUUCUUUUUUCUUAAUGUUAAUAAAAAAAAGAAGAAAAUUCUGGUUUUUUCUUUCCAAAAUUCGAUAUAGGCUGAAAGACAAUCAGAUCUUUUUUCUCUUCAGCGGGCAGUUCCAUAUAGAAUUUGUUAGAAUAAAACAAGCGGGUUAAAAAAAAAAACUCUUUUUUUUUUAUUUAUCCACAAAGCAAAAAAGGUUCUUAUCAAACCCACAAUAAAAUGGGAAAGAAAGAUAAAGUAAGUAGACCUGACCCCUUGAAUAAUGCCUCUAUCUGCUAUUCUGAUAUAUAAAUUCGAUGUGGAUGAAAUUGGUGUAUAAGCGCAUUUUUGUAUUUCCUUAGACUUAGAUCGCGCAAGGCAAGAAUUUUUCGCUAUUUACGAUUUCAUAUUCUUGUUACUAGACGUUCUAUAGGAAUAAGAAGAAAUCGCAACUCUUUUCCGUUACACAUAAUAAAUAAAGGGUUUCAAAAGUCAAUUUUUCUUUUCAAUAUCUUUCUUUUUUUUUUCAGAAUUCCAUUUUUGUUCUUCCACCCAUGCAAUAGAGAGCGAAUGAGAAAAGAGGGGUUUUCCCUUAAAAAAUGGGCUUUGAAAUAGAAAUCAUGGAAUAAUGCUGAAUUCAAAUGUUUAUUUCUUUAUUUCUUUUCUAUAGUAUAAGAAAAAUGAAUUAAAUGAAAUUUGUGGAUUUAGCACGACCUGGGUUGUGACCCCAUAGAUAAAAAUGCAAAAUUUCUAUCUUCGAGACGACUGAAAAAGGGCAUUGAACGAGAAAGAAAUCGUCCACAGAUAAUCAAACUAUCGUAUGCCCUGGAAGUAAUAUGAGGUGCUCGAAAAUGGUUGAAGUAAUUGAAUAGGAGGAUCACUAUGACUAUAGCCGUUGGUAGAGUUACUAAAGAAGAAAACGAUCUAUUCCCCCUUAUCGACGACUGGUUACGAAGGGACCGCUUCGUUUUUGUAGGAUGGUCCGGCUUAUUGCUCUUUCCUUGUGCUUAUUUCGCUUUAGGGGGUUGGUUUACAGGGACUACUUUUGUAACUUCUUGGUAUACCCAUGGAUUGGCUAGUUCCUAUUUGGAAGGUUGCAAUUUCUUAACCGCGGCGGUUUCCACACCUGCCAAUAGUUUAGCACACUCUUUGUUGCUACUAUGGGGACCGGAAGCACAGGGAGAUUUUACUCGUUGGUCUCAAUUAGGUGGUCUUUGGACUUUUCUCGCUCUCCAUGGAGCUUUUGCACUAAUAGGUUUCAUGCUACGUCAAUUUGAACUUGCUCGGCCUGUUCAAUUGCGGCCUUAUAAUGCAAUUUCAUUCUCUGGUCCAAUCGCUGUUUUUCUUUCCGUAUUCCUUAUUUAUCCACUGGGACAAUCUGGUUGGUUCUUCUCGCCGAGUUUUGGCGUAGCAGCUAUAUUUCGCUUCAUCCUUUUCUUCCAAGGAUUUCAUAAUUGGACGUUGAAACCAUUUCAUAUGAUGGGAGUUGCCGGAGUAUUAGGCGCAGUUCUGCUAUGCGCUAUCCACGGGGCUACCGUAGAAAACACUCUAUUCGAAGAUGGCGAUGGUGCAAAUACCUUCCGUGCUUUUAACCCAACUCAAGCUGAAGAAACUUAUUCAAUGGUCACUGCUAACCGCUUUUGGUCCCAAAUCUUUGGUGUUGCUUUUUCCAAUAAACGUUGGUUACAUUUCUUUAUGCUAUUUGUACCCGUCACCGGUUUAUGGAUGAGUGCUAUUGGCGUAGUUGGUCUGGCUCUGAACCUACGUGCCUAUGACUUCGUUUCCCAGGAAAUCCGUGCAGCGGAAGAUCCUGAAUUUGAGACUUUCUACACCAAAAAUAUUCUUUUAAACGAGGGUAUUCGUGCGUGGAUGGCAGCUCAGGAUCAGCCUCAUGAAAAUCUUAUAUUCCCUGAGGAGGUUCUACCACGUGGAAACGCUCUUUAAUGGAACUUUCGUUUUAGCUGGUCGUGACCAAGAAACCACCGGCUUUCCUUGGUGGGCUGGGAAUGCCAGACUUAUCAAUUUGUCCGGUAAACUACUUGGAGCUCAUGUAGCCCAUGCCGGAUUAAUCGUAUUCUGGGCCGGAGCAAUGAACCUAUUUGAAGUGGCCCAUUUCGUACCAGAAAAGCCCAUGUAUGAACAAGGGUUGAUUUUACUUCCGCACUUAGCUACUCUAGGUUGGGGAGUAGGGUCGGGGGGAGAAGUUCUAGAUACUUUUCCUUACUUUGUAUCCGGAGUACUUCACUUAAUUUCCUCCGCAGUCUUAGGCUUCGGUGGCAUUUAUCACGCGCUUCUGGGACCCGAGACUCUUGAAGAAUCUUUUCCAUUCUUUGGUUAUGUAUGGCAAGAUAGAAAUAAAAUGACUACACUUUUGGGUAUUCACUUAAUUUUGUUAGGUCUAGGUGCUUUUCUUCUAGUACUCAAGGCUCUUUAUUUUGGCGGCGUAUAUGAUACCUGGGCCCCGGGGGGGGGGGAUGUAAGAAAAAUUACCAAUUUGACCCUUAGCCCCGGUGUUAUAUUUGGUUAUUUACUAAAAUCCCCUUUUGGGGGAGAAGGAUGGAUUGUUAGUGUGGAUGAUUUAGAAGAUAUAAUUGGGGGACAUGUAUGGUUGGGUUCCAUUUGUGUACUUGGCGGAAUUUGGCAUAUCUUAACCAAACCCUUUGCAUGGGCUCGCCGUGCAUUUGUAUGGUCUGGCGAAGCUUACUUGUCUUAUAGUUUAGGUGCUUUAUCUGUUUUUGGUUUUAUCGCUUGUUGUUUUGUCUGGUUCAAUAAUACGGCUUAUCCAAGUGAGUUUUACGGGCCCACUGGACCAGAAGCUUCUCAAGCUCAAGCAUUUACUUUUCUAGUUAGAGACCAGCGUCUUGGAGCUAAUGUAGGGUCUGCCCAAGGACCGACGGGUUUAGGUAAAUAUCUAAUGCGUUCCCCAACGGGAGAGGUUAUUUUUGGAGGGGAAACUAUGCGUUUUUGGGACCUUCGUGCUCCGUGGUUAGAACCUCUAAGGGGCCCCAACGGUUUGGACUUGAGUAGGUUGAAGAAAGACGGCCAACCUUGGCAAGAACGACGUUCAGGAGAAUAUAUGACCCAUGCUCCUUUAGGCUCUUUAAAUUCCGUGGGUGGCGUAGCUACCGAGAUCAAUGCUGUUAAUUAUGUCUCCCCUAGAAGUUGGUUAGCGACCUCCCAUUUUGUUCUAGGAUUCUUCUUUUUUGUGGGCCAUUUGUGGCAUGCAGGAAGAGCCCGAGCUGCUGCAGCAGGCUUUGAAAAGGGAAUUGAUCGCGAUUUGGAACCUGUUGUUUACAUGACCCCUCUUAACUAAGAUUUUUUAUUUAUACCUGUUCUAGUUUUUUUCUGUUCUGGCUCGGUUAUUCCAUCUAGCCGAGCCAUUCAUGCUUUUUUAUGAAAGAAUGAUAUAAGGGGGGCUGCACAAAGAAAAACAUAGAUAGAAAGAAGCAAAUGUAUUCAAUAUACAAAAGGAGAGAGAGGGAUUCGAACCCUCGAUAGUUCCUAGAACUAUACCGGUUUUCAAGACCGGAGCUAUCAACCACUCAGCCAUCUCUCCACAGCCCAAUCCCUAUUUUAUUCCUACAAAUAGAACAUAGCUAUAUGAAAUGAUCUACUAACUCAUCUCAGAUGCAAGUCCACUUUCAAUAUAUCUCUGUAUAAAGCGGUAAGGAAAAAGUUUUAAUAAAAAGAAGAAUCAAUGGAUUCAUGAUUAAACCCCUCCUACUUCUUGUAUUUUCAUACAAUUUUGAUUAAGUGAGGGAUCAAAUAGAAAUAUGUAGUCAACUUUAUUUGAAGGUAGUUUGGAGGAUUAUAAAUAUGAAUAUUGCUUUCCAAUUAGCUGUUUUUGCAUUAAUUGCGACUUCCUCAGUUUUAGUAAUUAGAGGACACCUUGUAUUUGCUUCUCCUGAUGGUUGGUCAAAUAAUAAAAACGUUGUAUUUUCCGGUACAUCAUUAUGGAUUGGAUUAGUCUUUCUGGUAGCUAUUCUGAAUUCUCUUAUUUCUUGAAUUUGUUUAGUAUUUAGUAACCCGAUACAAAAUAAAUAAAAAGAAAGGCCCUUUUUCGAAAAAAUUAGGAUUUUUAUACACAUUAAAAUGCUAUUUUCGUUCCGAAUUAUUACCUCUUCUCUUUCAUUAUUAUGAAAUUCUAUUGCCAUUAGAAUAUUGAUUGAUAGACAGUUAAUAAAAAGAAAACUCUAAUAGAAAAUGAAACGGUCGACCCAGACAUAGACGGUCGACCCAGACAUAGACGGUCGACCCAGGUGGAUAUACCCUAUAAAAUAUAGGACGUAGCAAGCGUAGUUCAAUGUAGCGAGCGUAGUUCAGUGGUAAAACAUCUCCUUGCCAAGGAGAAGAUACGGGUUCGAUUCCCGUCGCUCGCCAGCUUAAUUUAGUAAGGUGCUAUGAUAAAAAAUUCAGUCUAGUUGACUACUUAACUACUUAAUAUUAUAGUUUAUAUUUAAUAUUAUAGUUUAUAUUAUAGUAAAUUAUAUAUAUUUAUUUUUAAUAUAGUAAAUUAUUAUAGUAAAUGACUACUUAACUACUUCUAUUAAAUUACUAUUUAAUAUUAAAUGAAUAUUAAAUUAAGUAGUUGUUAGUCUAGUACUGUACCCCUUCCUAUCUUAUCCUUCCUUUGCACCCGACUCAAAAAAAAAGAGUGCUUCGAGGGUGCAAAUCCAACUUUCUAAGAAAGUUCCCUAAACCGGGGAUUCGCCGAGACAAACAAGAGACAAACGGUUUUGAAAGGGGGAUAGGCUAUGCUUUUCUUUCAUUUUUUUUUUUUUUUUUUCUGCCUGCUAAAUAAAAAAAAAGGGUUGGAUAUAGCCCUCUAUCAUAUAUAUACAAAUAGAAUAGUCCAUUUAUACGGACUGCUAAGUGCGGAGACGGGAAUCGAACCCGUGACCUCAAGGUUAUGAGCCUCGUGAGCUACCAAACUGCUCUACUCCGCUCUGUAGGGCCGAAAACUGGUGGACGAAAGAAAAAGGUGGAAUACAAGUCUCUACCAUGUCUAGACAAACAAAUGGAAUAGUCUUUUUAUACAGAAUGGAGCGGGUAGCGGGAAUCGAACCCGCAUCGUUAGCUUGGAAGGCUAGGGGUUAUAGUCGACGUUGGUUGAUUAUUUUUGACGUCUCUAAUUCAAAACCGAACAUGAAAUUUUGAUUUCAUUCGGCUCCUUUAUGGAUAUUCUCACCACUUAACAUCUAUGUCAGCUUUUCUGUCUGAAUGGAACCAAAGCUCUCCGCUUUCUAGAUGAUCCCUAUAGAAUAGGAGAUAGAAAUUCUCCUAAAUAUCUAUCUAAUCUACUUACUUCGUUCCCUAAUUUCAUUCAAGAGAUCCUGAGGAAAAGAGUUGGGUUUCCACCGAGCUGAAACAAUAUAAUAUACUGAUGGUUCUAGUAAACCAAAACCAUCGUUUUUUAGCUAUUGGGCUUCCAUUUCCUACAAAACAAAAGAAGAUUUAGUUACGAUUGGAAAUAACCUUUUUUGUAUCUUCAUCCAUAGAUCCUUUACUCAUAUUUAUUCAAUCGGAAUACUUAUCGGAAUACUUAAUCCAAUGCAAAAUUAUCGUUCGCGACUACGUACUCAUAAUCGAAUUUGUAUUUUAGAUGCAAAUUCAAUUAGUCUUUGGAUACUAAUCGGGAGAAUGUAUAUUCUUCCUCAAUAUGCUAUUGAGAGGAAAAGGAUUAAAUCCUUUAUAAGAACUAAAGUUUUCAUCGGAAUAUGAAUAUAAAAAAACUUAAGGAUGCCUUAAGUAUAUCAUUUCAAAUUCAGUUAUUAAUAGAACGAAUCACACUUUUACCACUAAACUAUACCCGCUACAUGUAGAUUAUGAUACCAAUGCUACCCUUUGUCAAGGGUAGCCAUUCGAGAAGGAGGCUAAUUCCACCUUAUCGAAUCAAAGGAGAAAGUUCAUGGCGGUGGGCGGUUGGUACUUCAAUCGCGGACCUUUACUUUAGGAUUUAGAUAGCCCCUCUCUAGUCUGUAAAAUACAUCUCUUCUUACCAUACCAAUAGCGUAUGAACCAAAUGUAUGCAUUUCGAUUAGGAUCUAUUCUACGGUUAUGACUACAAGGAUCAUUAUUUGUGAGGACGUAAAUGUGCCAGACUGUUGUAAGGAAUCGUUUAAUUAUUCCUACAAUAUAUACUAAGAGAUAUAAAGGCAGUACAGUCCCCAUAAAUCCCUUUCUUCCUUUUCUUUUUUGUUCAGAAUUGAACAAAGAAAUUGCGAAAGAUGUUUUCUUCCUCCACGUAUCAUGAAGUGCGAGCCAUAGGGAAGGAGUGAGAUGACUUUCCAAAAUUUUUCAUAGACUUCGUCUAUCGCUUGAGAGAAGCAACAAAGAGUAAUAACUUAAAAAGAAAAGCAGAUACGAAUCGCUGGUUAGUCGAUCCUCUCCAUUUCCUAAUUUCCUCUCUUCUUUUCCGCUCAAUUCUAGUUUAUUAGAUUCUUGUUUAAAAGAAUCAAAGAAGAUGAAUAGAACUAAGAACACAUAAAAAAGAGCAUAGAGAACCAUUACCAAACGUUCCUCCUAAGAAUCAUAUUGGGUAUCUAUCCCCUUCCUUUUAACCCUAGGAUCGAAAAUCUAGAAUCCUCCCUUUUCCUAGUGUUCGGAAACGGAAAACCCUGAACCUGGAGGAGUUAGGUAUGUAGGAUAUGCUUUUUAUUUUUUGUUGGACAGGCAGUAGUAUAAUUUUGAUACUCUGCAGUAUAAAUUCGACUCCCAACCCUUUUUUUUAGAAUAAAAUUGUUGAUAAAACUCCAACAUAGUUUGUUCCAAAUCCACUAUAAUCCUUGUAGAAUAGUCAAGUACCCCAUUUCCAAGGGGUACCUGUUGAAAAUCGUUUCAACAAAUCCGUCCAAAACUUUUUAAGAAAAAUGAAAAAGUUUUGAACUCGAAAGUUUUUCCAAAAGAUGCCUGCUAAAAAUUGUUUCAAUCUCUCACCAAAACAGAUAAGAAGUAUAUCACUGAAAAUUACUAUCCAGCCAUAGGGGUAUAUGAAGAGCGCAAAUUCCUUUAUACCCCACCCAAUUAGAAUUAGGGGAAAUAAAACAUAAAUGGAGAAAGUUCUCAUCAUAAGAUCAGCCAAUAGAAGAAAAAAGUCCCUAAUUCUGCAGAACAUUCUGAGCACGUGAAAAGUGAAUAGCCUAAAGAUAAAAAAAAAGUUUAUCAUUUUUUUAACAGCAGUUCUUAUUGCCCCUUUGGCCUUUUUGGCCCAUUGUUGGUAUUCCGAUUCAACAAUUGAUACCAUAUUUGUUCUCUUCUUAACAAAAAAAAUGGAACUUCCGGACUUUGGUUUGGUGAGUCGUACGAGAUCGUGUUUACAUACCUAUGAACUUAGCCUCUUCAAGUGUAUCCGAUAUAUAUAAUAAUUUUUGGGUGUGUCAAUUCUCUGUUCAUGUAUUUUAUUAUACAUGAUAUGUAUAUGUAUUUAUUUAUAUAAUAAUAAAUACCUAUACUUUGUGCAAGUGAUAAGAGAUAAUAUGAAAGAUUUUCUUAUUUUUCUUAAUUUUCUCAAGAUUUUAAACCUCGCCAUAAAUAAACUUCGAUAUCUCGAUCUCGAUAUAUAGAAAAGAAAAUCUCUACAUAUCUCUAUAUAUACAUAUAUUAUGUACAUUAAUAUAUACAUGUAAUAUGUACAUUAUGCAGUAGACCCAUAAUGGUAAAUGAAAGUGGCUAAUUAUUGAAUAAAAAGCCCUUUUAACUCAGUGGUAGAGUAAUGCCAUGGUAAGGCAUAAGUCAUCGGUUCAAAUCCGAUAAAGGGCUUUUCGCUUAGUGGUAGAAUAAUGCCUUGGUAAGACAGAAGUCAUCGGUUCGAAUCCGAUAAAGUACUUUUCUACUAAAUUCAUUCAUUUCUUUUUUGAAAAUGUCCCCAUUUUUUUUUUUUUUUGCAAUUUUAUGACUUAGUUUAGUGCGAGAUGCCCACAUUUUUGGUCUGAACACUAAACGAGCACAGACUUAAAAUUACAAAAAAAAAUGAAAUUGGACUCUUUUUCCUGUUAUAGCAAUCAAUACCUGUACUGAACUAAUUUAGAUUCCUUUUUAUUAGUCUAUUCGUAUUCUAUACCCUUUAAACGAAUUUCCUUAACCUUAAAAAGCUUAAAAAGUAGGGGAUGAUCCGUGAAUUAACCUAACCAUCAACUAAAAAAAAUCCUAUGAAAGCAUAACAGAAAAGUAGUAAAGACUCUUUUCUUGAUCUAGUUCGAAGAGUAUAUGACAAUUCCAAAAAACUGCUCAUACUAUCAUUAUAGUAUAAAGACCGAGUGGUUGUAUAUGGUGCUAUCGUCUAGUGAUGCCCCCAUCGUCUAGUGGUUCAGGACAUCUCUCUUUCAAGGAGGCAGCGGGUAUUCGACUUCCCCUGGGGGUAGGGAGUAUUAUAAAAAGAGGUUAAUCAUAGAUUAUCAAAAAGCCUAGAAAAAAUUCUUCCUGGGUCGAUGCCCGAGCGGUUAAUGGGGACGGACUGUAAAUUCGUUGACGAUAUGUCUACGCUGGUUCAAAUCCAGCUCGGCCCAAAAAUUUAGGGCUUCGUGAAUAUGAACUAAAUCUAUUUUUUUUAUGGAAGAAAAAAGAUGUAUUAUCUAUAGAAAUAAAGGAUAAAGAGAAACGGGGAAAUUGAUUUCUAAUCCGUAUCUCUCUGAUUCUUUGUCUUACAAAGAAAAGACAAAGAAAAGAGCUUUUCUUAUGGAAAAGCGGAUUAUCGUUUAUUUUUAGGGAUAAAAAAUCGCAACAUACUAGUUAUGCCACUCUCACUAUACCCGCAUAGGAUAUGCGGGUAUGUAGUAUAUGAUUCGUCUAUUUCUUAGAGCACGACAGACGGAUCGAAUCUUCUAUUUAAGAAUAGGCAUGCCAUACACCCCGCAGGGAUUGUAGUUCAAUUGGUCAGAGCACCGCCCUGUCAAGGCGGAAGCUGCGGGUUCGAGCCCCGUCAGUCCCGAACUAGGGUUCAAUGAAUGGACAAAUUCAUCUUUUCUUUUUUCAUGGAAAUUUUUGAUGAAAAAAGGGGGGGGGGGGACAGGAGGCAAGAUCAAAUAUCUAUGGGGCACCCUUACUUCACUUUUAUUUUUUUGCAUUUCUCAGUAAAAAGAGAGCAGUGCAGUAUAGAAUUUUUUUUGCACUACUUCCGGUUGAUAAGGAAAGGCAUACAUAUCAUACGUGGAUUAGUAUAAUUUAGGAUACUACUCCAUUUUUAUGAUGAUACCACCCUCAUCUUAACUUCCUAUUCGACUCUUAUGAAAUCGAGUACCGGUAUUUUACCGGAAUCCAUACAUAAACCGUAUUCGUUUAUUGUUAGAGAAUGAAUUUCAUCUAAUUAGUUACUUUUUGGGGGUUAAACCGCACCCCUUCCAUUUUCUAGUUCCAACUUUGUUUGUGUAUAUAAUUGGAAAGAAUCCACCUCAUUCUCACUCCAUUUGCCGACUCCUUUUUUUAUGGAUUUGCUCUCAUCUUUAGACCCCAAAAAGCGUAUAUGGAUAGUAACCUAAUAAAAUAAAAACCAAGCAAACGCUCUUUUUCCUAAAUUUAAAUAUGGGAUCCUUUUUAUUUAAGAUCCUCUUUUCUCCAUCUCAUUUCUACUUCUACUGCUUAUUGGGAUGUCUAUGUGACCCAUAGAAAGUUGGUCAUAUAAUACAUACAUAAUUGUAUGUAUAACUAUAAGAAAAAGGAAGUGAAAUUGGAUAAGAUAAGAAAGAUUUUGGGUUAUACAUAUAGAAAAGCAAAAGUAGAAAAGAAUGAAAAAAGAAUAGAGGGGGUUUCGAAUCCAAUCAAAAAACCUAUUUUGGUCUUAGUAUGGAUAAGAGAUCUUCCUAUGUUAUAUUAUUCCACUAUCCACCAUGAAUUGAUUUGAUAGAUGCAAUAUUCAUAAUAUUGAAUUGAUUCAGUAUUAUCAGAAUGCAAGUCCUCCCCUUGAAUUUACAGGAUACCCCUUUUUCCUCUCCAUGGGAUUACAUCCCGAGUUAUUGUGAAAAAAAUAAAUAAAUAAAGAGGUUAUGGAAGUAAAUAUUCUCGCAUUUAUUGCUACAGCAUUGUUCAUUCUAGUUCCUACUGCCUUUUUACUUAUUAUUUAUGUAAAAACAGCCAGUCAAAAUGAUUAAUUGGAAUUCCAAUUAAUCAUUGAAGAAAUGAAAAAGGGAUUAAAGAAAAUAAAAAAUCCAAGUCUUAAAUGAAAGGGUCUGGUUGGAAUCAUAAAGUUUGGUAGAAAGAACUACAUAUAGUUUUUUCUACCACACUUUAGAUUCUUUCUAUUAUAUUAUCUUGAAUCUACAUAGAAUCGAUUAGUAGAUUGAAAUAGUAGUCUAAUUCAACUUCUUUUUUCACUGCAUCCACUUAAUUUCAAUCAAGUCAAAAUCAAAAAAAUCGAAGAUAAUUCUUCAUUGAAAGAAUCCAAGGAGGGGGAGAAAAAUAAUACGAGAAUAGACUAGAAUAGAUUAUAGUAAAAGAAAAAAAGUAAAAGGAAAAAACCUACGAAUCUUUCAUGCUUAAAAAAGGUGCGAGAUGCUUCAAUCGAGAUCCUUCAAAAAAAAAAAAAA
rnacentral:lncRNA from 1 species